CUAAUGCUGUAUGAAUAAGGUGUUCAAUGUAGUGGAGAGAGUUUUAUCUCAUCUCUCAAACAAAACAGAUGAGAUUCAACUCCUCCAACUGCAAGUUUCACCUGUUUACGACUUGUUUACAA
rnacentral:precursor_RNA from 9 species